ACAGAGGGUGCUAGCGUUGUUCGGAAUUAUUGGGCGUAAAGCGCGUGUAGGCGGCCGGCCAAGUCGGAUGUGAAAGCCCUCGGCUCAACCGAGGAAGUGCGUUCGAUACUAGCUGGCUCGAGUACCGGAGAGGGUGGUGGAAUUCCCGGUGUAGAGGUGAAAUUCGUAGAUAUCGGGAGGAACACCAGUGGCGAAGGCGACCACCUGGACGGAUACUGACGCUGAGACGCGAAAGCGUGGGGAGCAAACAGGAUUAGAUACCCUGGUAGUCCACGCUGUAAACGAUGAGCGCUAGGUGUUGCGGGUGUUGACCCCUGCAGUGCCGAAGCUAACGCAUUAAGCGCUCCGCCUGGGAAGUACGGCCGCAAGGCUA
rnacentral:rRNA from 1 species